rnacentral:misc_RNA from 1 species
UGUUGGCAGCUGGUGGUGCCCGGCUU